AGAGAUAAAAAGUAUUCAACCAAACAAUAAAAUCCGAACCACAUACAAUAAUUAAUUUCACAUCCAUAUUUAGUAAAGAUACAUUGAAAUGAUCCAUACUAAAGAUGAUUUAUCCAUUCUUCCACUAAAUUGUAGGGUCCAUAAAAAAAUUUUGAUAACUCGAAUAAAUUAAUUUUUUGUUUUAUUUAAAAAUCUAAUUUUAAACAAAAUCAUUUUGCUCGAUUUAAAUCA
rnacentral:misc_RNA from 1 species